rnacentral:rRNA from 1 species
UUAAGGGUGCAGGGCGGAUGCCUUGGCACUAGGAGCCGAUGAAGGACGUGAUAAGCUGCGAUAAGCUUCGGGGAGUUGCACGUAAACUUUGAUCCGAAGAUUUCCGAAUGAGGAAACUCACUUAGAGUAAUGUCUAAGUAUCAUUAAGUGAAUACAUAGCUUAAUGAGGGGAACUCAGGGAACUGAAACAUCUAAGUACCUGAAGGAAGAGAAAGAAAUUCGAUUCCGUAAGUAGCGGCGAGCGAACGCGGAUUAGCCCAAACCAAUAAAGUUUUCUUUAUUGGGGUUGCGGACAUAUCAUAACGAAGAGGUAUCGUAAUUGAAGAGGUUUGGAAAGACCCACCACAGAAGGUAAUAGUCCUGUAUGUUAAACGAGAAGACUUCAGAUAUGAUCCAGAGUACCACGGGACACGUGAAACCCUGUGGGAAGCAGGAGGGACCACCCUCCAAGGCUAAAUACUACCUAGUGACCGAUAGCGUAUAGUACCGUGAGGGAAAGGUGAAAAGAACCCCGGGAGGGGAGUGAAAUAGAACCUGAAACCCUGCACUUACAAGCUGUGGAAGCACAUUUCUUGUGUGACCGCGUACUUUUUGUAGAACGGGCCAACGAGUUACGUUAAGUAGCAAGGUUAAGCACUUAAGGUGCGGAGCCGUAGCGAAAGCGAGUUUUAACUGAGCGUUCAGUUACUUGACGUAGACCCGAAACCGGGCGACCUACCCAUGAGCAGGAUGAAGCGAAAGUAAAAUUUCGUGGAGGUCCGAACCCACGAGCGUUGAAAAGCUCGGGGAUGACUUGUGGGUAGCGGUGAAAUUCCAAUCGAGCCCGGAGAUAGCUGGUUCUCCCCGAAAUAGCUUUAGGGCUAGCCUCAAGGUGAGAGAUACGGAGGUAGAGCACUGAAUGUCCUAGGGGGUAUUGCACCUACCGAAGACUAUCAAACUCCGAAUGCCGUCAUCUUAUACUUGGGAGUCAGACUGUGGGUGAUAAGAUUCAUAGUCGAAAGGGCAACAGCCCAGAUCGUCAGCUAAGGUCCCUAAAUGUAAGUUAAGUGGUAAAGGAUGUGGGAUUGCACAGACAACCAGGAUGUUGGCUUAGAAGCAGCCACUCAUUCAAAGAGUGCGUAAUAGCUCACUGGUCGAGUGAUCCUGCGCCGAAGAUUUCCGGGGCUAAAACUUACUACCGAAGCUACGGCAUCAGUAAUGAUGGGUAGGGGAGCUUCCCAUACGGGUUGAAGCAUGACCGUAAGGACAUGUGGACAGUAUGGGAGUGAGAAUGUUGGCAUGAGUAGCGAGAUGUGGGUGAGAAUCCCACAGGCCGUAAACCCAAGGUUUCCAGGGGAAGGUUCGUCCGCCCUGGGUUAGUCGGGACCUAAGCUGAGGCCGAAAGGCGUAGGUGAUGGACAACAGGUUGAUAUUCCUGUACUACCGAUAACCGUUUGAGAGAAGGGAUGACACAGUAGGAUAAGCUAAGCACACUGUUGGUUAUGUGUGCCCAAGCAUUGAGGCAGUCAAAGCAGGCAAAUCCGCUUUGAUAAUGCUGGGAUGUGAUGGGGAGCGAAAUUUAGUAGCGAAGUAGCUGAUUUCACACUGUCAAGAAAAGUCUCUAUCGAGGUUAAAGGUACCCGUACCGCAAACCGACACAGGUGGGUGAGGAGAGUAUCCUAAGGCCAGCGAGAGAACUGUUGUUAAGGAACUCGGCAAAAUGACCCCGUAACUUAGGGAUAAGGGGUGCCACCAUCCGGUGGCCGCAGAGAAUAGGCCCAAGCGACUGUUUACCAAAAACAUAGGUUUCUGCUAAGUCGCAAGACGAUGUAUAGGAGCUGACGCCUGCCCGGUGCUGGAAGGUUAAGGGGAUCUGUUAGAGCAAUCGAAGCAGUGAACUUAAGCCCCAGUAAACGGCGGCCGUAACUAUAACGGUCCUAAGGUAGCGAAAUUCCUUGUCGGGUAAGUUCCGACCCGCACGAAAGGCGUAACGAUUUGGGCACUGUCUCAACAACAGACUCGGUGAAAUUGUAAUUCCGGUGAAGAUGCCGGAUACCUGCGACAGGACGGAAAGACCCCAUGGAGCUUUACUGUAGCUUGACAUUGGGUCUUGGUACUACAUGUACAGGAUAGGUGGGAGGCUUUGAAACCAGGACGCCAGUUUUGGCGGAGCCAUCCUUGGGAUACCACCCUUGUAGUACUGGGACUCUAACCAUAGGCCAUGAAUCUGGUCUUGGGACACUGUCAGGUGGGCAGUUUGACUGGGGCGGUCGCCUCCCAAAAGGUAACGGAGGCGCUCAAAGGUUCUCUCAGUACGGUCGGAAAUCGUACGUAGAGUGUAAAGGCAAAAGAGAGCUUGAUUGCAAGACAUACAGGUCGAGCAAGGAUGAAAAUCGGACUUAGUGAUCCGGUGGUUCUGCGUGGAAGGGCCAUCGCUCAACGGAUAAAAGCUACCCUGGGGAUAACAGGCUUAUCUCCCCCAAGAGUCCACAUCGACGGGGAGGUUUGGCACCUCGAUGUCGGCUCAUCACAUCCUGGGGCUGUAGUAGGUCCCAAGGGUUGGGCUGUUCGCCCAUUAAAGUGGUACGCGAGCUGGGUUCAGAACGUCGUGAGACAGUUCGGUCCCUAUCCGUCGCAGGCGUAGGAAAUUUGAGAAGACCUGUCCUUAGUACGAGAGGACCGGGAUGGACGUACCUCUGGUGUACCAGUUGUUCUGCCAAGGGCAUGGCUGGGUAGCUAUGUACGGAAUGGAUAAGCGCUGAAAGCAUCUAAGCGCGAAGCCAACUUCAAGAUAAGAUUUCCCACCGCAAGGGUAAGACCCCAGAAAGACUAUCUGGUUGAUAGGUCGAAGGUGUAAGUGCAGCAAUGUAUUUAGCUUAUCGAUACUAAUAGGUCGAGGACUUGACC